rnacentral:snoRNA from 1 species
AGACCAUAAUGUGGGGAAUGCCUAAGUCCUUAUGUCUAUCCCAAGCUUCAUAUUAUGUCUCACCAUCAAAUUGUAUGAAAGAAGUGAUAAUGUUCUUUAUUUU